rnacentral:rRNA from 1 species
UACGAAGGGGGCCAGCGUUGUUCGGAAUCACUGGGCGUAAAGCGCACGUAGGCGGAUUUGUAAGUCAGGGGUGAAAUCCCGGGGCUCAACCUCGGAACUGCCUUUGAUACUGCGAAUCUUGAGUCCGAUAGAGGUGGGUGGAAUUCCUAGUAUAGAGGUGAAAUUCGUAGAUAUUAGGAAGAACACCAGUGGCGAAGGCGGCCCACUGGAUCGGUACUGACGCUGAGGUGCGAAAGCGUGGGGAGCAAACAGG